GCGAUCGUCAGUAACCCUAGGAAAUAAGCUAGCUUGCGAAUAUAGAAGGUGCGCACUCGGGAACUUGUUUCGAAUUUUCAGGUCUCAUCAGCGGAGCUCUGAGCGUCUGGCCGAACCUGGAUCUACUAGUGAAGCACGAAAGAUGAUGAAGGCGAUUCAGACCUGUGUGUUGAUGCUUCUUCUGGUGCAUUCCGUGCACUCAACCGGGUACAGCCUGUGCAAUGGGACUUGCACGCUGGGAAUGACAUGCGUAUCCUCGCCAGCUGGAGAUAGUUGCAGAUAUGUGAUGAAGCAUACUGGCCGAAGUACAUUCGCUACCACCACCAUGACAGAUUUGGUAAUAGACGUUGAGUUCUUUGACCAAGGCUCGAAUAAAUGGAACUCGACAAAACACUUCACGGCUCUAAAACAAACUCCGUUCCUAAUUGUGAUGAACGAUGGACAAACGGGAACCUAUUUCCGAUCUCGAAUCAACCUGAAAAUACCUCAUAUCACGACUCUGUCAAUUGUGUCA